rnacentral:rRNA from 1 species
AACGAACGCUGGCGGCAUGCCUAACACAUGCAAGUCGAACGAGACCUGCGGGUCUGGUCGCGCAUGCGUGCGUAACGGGUUGGGACCUGCCCUUAGAUUCGGAAUAACUCCCCGAAUAAGGUGCGAAUACCGGAUAAUAUCUUCCAACCAAAGAUUUGUCGCCAUUGGGUGGGCUCGCGUUGUAUUGCCUUGUGAGUAGGCUAAAAGGCUACCACUGCGUCGAUCGAUAACUGGUAUGAGAGGAUGAGCAGCCACACUGGGAGGGAGCCACGGCCCAGACUCCUGCGGGAGGCAGCAGUGGGGAAUAUAGGAAAACGGGGGAAAGGCUGAACCAGCAAUGCCGGGUGAGUGAUGAAGGCCGGAGGGUUGUAAAGCACGUUUACCCGUGAUGAUAAUGACAGUACCGGGAGAGUAAGCUCCGGCUAACUCCGUG